rfam:Ajellomyces capsulatus H143 mitochondrial scaffold supercont2.49, whole genome shotgun sequence.
CCAGAUAACCCAUUAUCUGAGCUCAUACGGUGUGCAUUAAAAGUAAUUUUUUUGUAUAAAGCCCGUUUAAUCAGGUAAAUAAUCCUUCCAUCCUAAUUAUAUCUAUAGAUAUAAAAGGAUGGUGAGCUAUAUUACUAUGGAUAAG